AAAAAGACAAACCCUGGUUUCCGUGCCCAACGUUUGACCGUCCGUCUUAUUUAAAAAAAUUAUGAAAAAAAUUAAAAAGACAAGUCACGCAUAAAAUAUUAAUCAUGUUUUAUCAUCUAACAACAAUGAAAAUACGAAUUAUAAAAAAAUUUCAUAUAAGACGGACAAUCAAAGUUGGACACGGAAACCCAGGGUUUGCCUUUUU
rfam:Oryza sativa (indica cultivar-group) chromosome 2, whole genome shotgun sequence.